rnacentral:lncRNA from 1 species
GCUUUUAACCUUCAGCCAGCACCUAAGAGUGACUAACAAAAAUGCAGGGCAACCUUGUCUUGGACAAUUGAAUGGGAUCUCUGAGUGGAGAUCUCGCCUUGGUAGUUCCAGUUAGAAGUGUGGUGCUAACUCUGGCUGUCAGUUGGGCAGAUGCACAGAGUCAGCUGAGGCACAUAGAAGCAGCGUUUGACCAGGAGGCUGCAGCAGUCUUGAUGGCACGGCUUGGAGUGUUCCGGGCAGAGUCAGAGGAGGGGCCUGACGUGCUCCGGUGGCUGGAUCGACAACUCAUCAGACUGUGUCAGAAGUUUGGACAGUAUAACAAAGAAGACCCCACGUCUUUCAGGCUGUCAGACUCCUUUUCUCUGUAUCCUCAGGUAAGAAAUAGGUUUUUAAAGAGAAUUACAGAAGAAUGA